rnacentral:rRNA from 1 species
UGGCGGACGGGUGAGUAACGCGUGGGCAACCUGGUCCUGGUUACAGGGGAUAACACUUAGAAAUAGGUGCUAAUACCGCAUAACGGGAGAAGCCGCAUGGCUUUUUCCUGAAAACUCCGGUGGUACAGGAUGGGCCCGCGUCUGAUUAGCCAGUUGGCAGGGUAACGGCCUACCAAAGCGACGAUCAGUAGCCGGCCUGAGAGGGCGGACGGCCACACUGGGACUGAGACACGGCCCAGACUCCUACGGAAGGCAGCAG